UACAGAGGGUGCGAGCGUUAAUCGGAAUUACUGGGCGUAAAGCGUGCGUAGACGGCUAUCUAAGUCGGGUGUGAAAGCCCCGGGCUCAACCUGGGAAUUGCAUUCGAGACUGAAUAGCUAGGGUACGGUAGAGGGAAGUGGAAUUUCCGGUGUAGCGGUGAAAUGCGUAGAUAUCGGAAGGAACACCGGUGGCGAAGGCGGGUCUCUGGGCCGACAUUGACGCUGAGGAGCGAAAGCGUGGGGAGCGAACAGG
rnacentral:rRNA from 1 species